ensembl:miRNA MIR105-2 microRNA 105-2
UGUGCAUCGUGGUCAAAUGCUCAGACUCCUGUGGUGGCUGCUCAUACACCACGGAUGUUUGAACAUGUGCUAUGGUGUCUA